GAUGAACGCUGGCGGCGUGCUUAACACAUGCAAGUCGAACGGAAAGGCCCUGCUUGCAGGGUACUCGAGUGGCGAACGGGUGAGUAACACGUGGGUGAUCUGCCCUGUACUUUUGGAUAAGCCUGGGAGACAGGGUCUAAUACCGAAUAUGACAAUUGUUUGGAUGCGAUGGUGGAAAGCUUUUGUGGUGGGGGGUGAGCUCGCGGCCUAUCUGCUUGUUGGUGGGGUAGGGGCCUACAAAGGCGUCGAUGGGUGGCUGGCCGGAGAGGGUGAACGGCCAUAUGGGGUCAGAUACGGGCCCGACACCUACGCGGGGCAGAGAUGGGGAAUAUAGUACAAUGGGGGCAAGCCUGAUGUGGCGACACCGCGUGGGGGAUGACGGCCUUCGGGUUGUAAACACCUCUCGCAACCGAGGAGGCCCUUUGGUGACGGUAGGUUGAGAAGAAGCACCGGCUAACUACGUG
rnacentral:rRNA from 1 species